GAUGAACGCUGGCGGCGUGCCUAAUACAUGCCAGUCGAGCGAACAGACGAGGAGCUUGCUCCUCUGACGUUAUCGGCGGACGGGUGAGUAACACGUGGAUAACCUACCUAUAAGACUGGGAUAACUUCGGGAAACCGGAGCUAAUACCGGAUAAUAUAUUGAACCGCAUGGUUCAAUAGUGAAAGACGGUUUUGCUGUCACUUAUAGAUGGAUCCGCGCCGCAUUAGCUAGUUGGUAAGGUAACGGCUUACCAAGGCAACGAUGCGUAGCCGACCUGAGAGGGUGAUCGGCCACACUGGAACUGAGACACGGUCCAGACUCCUACGGGAGGCAGCAGUAGGGAAUCUUCCGCAAUGGGCGAAAGCCUGACGGAGCAACGCCGCGUGAGUGAUGAAGGUCUUCGGAUCGUAAAACUCUGUUAUUAGGGAAGAACAAAUGUGUAAGUAACUAUGCACGUCUUGACGGUACCUAAUCAGAAAGCCACGGCUAACUACGUG
rnacentral:rRNA from 1 species